CCUACGGGAGGCAGCAGUAGGGAAUAUUGCUCAAUGGGGGAAACCCUGAAGCAGCAACGCCGCGUGGAGGAUGAAGGUUUUCGGAGUGUAAACUCCUUUUGUUAUAGAAGAUAAUGACGGUAUCUAACGAAUAAGCACCGGCUAACUCCGUGCCAGCAGCCGCGGUAAUACGGAGGAUGCAAGCGUUACUCGGAAUCACUGGGCGUAAAGAGCGCGUAGGCGGGUUAGCAAGGCAGUUGUGAAAGCCUAUGGCUUAACCGUAGAAUUGCAUUUGAAACUGUUAUUCUAGAGUAUGGGAGAGGUAGGUGGAAUUCUUGGUGUAGGGGUCAAAUCCGUAGAGAUCAAGAAGAAUACUCAUUGCGAAGGCGACCUGCUAGAACAUAACUGACGCUGAUGCGCGAAAGCGUGGGGAGCAAACAGGAUUAGAUACCCCUGUAGUC
rnacentral:rRNA from 1 species